GACAGACAAUGAGGGGUGGAGAGAGAGAAGGAGGCACAGAAUCUGAAGCGGGCUCCAGGCUCUGAGCUGUCAGCACAGAGCCCGACAUGGGGCUUGAACUCAUGAACUGUGAGAUCAUGACCUGAGCUGAAGUCAGAUGCUUAACUGACUGAGGCACCCAGGUGCCCCAUAAACUGUCUCUACAAUUUUUGAGAGCCUGCUGUAACUAGGCAUUGUGUUAAAUGCUUUACAUCUAUUAUAGUGUGUCUCAAUUGUUCAUCUGUCCUUUUUUUAUUUAAAAAAUUUUUCUUUAAUGUUUAUUCAUUUUUGAAAGAGAGAGAGAAAGAGCACAAGUGGGGUAGGGGCAGAGAGAGAGAGGAAAACACAGAAUCUCACUGAAGCAGGCUCUAGGCUCUGAGCCAUCAGCACAGAGCCCAACGUGGGGCUCGAACCCAUGAACUGUGAGAUCAUUACCUGAGGUGGAAUUGAAGGUUUAACUGACCGAGCCACCCAAACACCCCUGAUCUGUCCUUCUACUAAUGCUUCCUAGUGGGUGUUCCACUGAACACUAGUCCUCUGAGAUGUUCUACAAAACGAAAGUUUCUUGGCUAAAUAAAUUUGGCGAUACCUUCAUACUCUCUUGCCUCUUGGAGAUUUUCAGAAACACAAUGUGUCUGUACUAAUACACUGAGAUUAUUCGAUGUUACUGGGUUUGCUAAUAAUCUUAGAAAUUGUUUUCUCUCCUUUUAGUUAGUUUAUAGCUAAUAACUGAGAAGAUCAAUACAUUUAAAAAGAAAACAGAACUUGCUGAUGAAGUAUCCAUUUGGGAGCAGAAGGGAUCAUUACCCUUUCAAAGAUUUUUUCUGAUUUCAUUUUGGUUAUUUGUACCUCUGGUAGUGUAUCCUACUGACCUAUUUCAUGUGUUCUAUAAACAGUUCUAGUUCAAGACAAGCUUCACAAAUGUCAAGCACUGUCUGUUUAUUUGUGGAAGGAAUCACACAUUAAAAGAUAGUUUUGUCUAUCACUAUGCUAUUUGUGAAUUCUAAUCCUUUAUCAUAUGUUUUAUAGAUCAAUGAAUCAAAGAAAUGUCUUUAAGAAACUAAGAGAAAUUAAGUUUCUUUCUGAUGAAGCUCUUAAAUUAAAGGAGGACAUCAAAACAGUUGAAUAUUUUAAUGAAAUUUUAAAUGACAGUCUUCAAAGUGCACGUGCUACCUUGCGAUCUGAGAGAGAGAAGAAUGUCAAGAAUAAGGACUUGUCACAAGAUGGAAAUGGUGAAUUCGAGGAUUGAGAGCUGAGAACCUUGAGGUCCAAUAACUGUGAACUGGAAGAAAAUAAAAAGGCCUUAGAAGACAAGUGUAAUGCAUUGAGGUCUGUGAAAGCAAUCAAGGAAGCAAAAGUCAAACAGCUGAAGGAGAAAGCACAUAUCCUUGAAGAAUUCUAUAAACAAAGAAGAGUGGCUGCAGAAGAGAAACUGAAAAUGGCACAAUGUGAACUGGUGGCAAUUGAGAAUCAACUGGAAGCUACAGAGGAAAAUUUGAAAAUAGCUAACGAGGAAAUAUACAAGUACAAGUGAGUUCAGAUACUAAUUAGCAGUGGCUCAUGAAACCCCUGUCCAUUUCUUGUUUUUCACAUUUGUACAAAUUUAGACUCAAUUAACAAGUAAUAUAAAUACAUAUUCAGAGGACAUAUCCAUAGAGAAUGAACAGAUAGAAAAAUAUAAGAUUUAGAAAGAACAAAAAACAGUCAAGUUACUAAACAUUUCCAGAACUCCAGUAUUGGCCUGACCAUGUGGAAACUUCAUCCAUGCCAACAUUCCUCAGGGGUGGUGUCAACUCUCAUAAUCUAUAGGAAACCAGUGUGUGGUAGGAUGAAUUAUACCCAUCAACAUGGUAGUGCCAUUUGAUGGCCCUGGUUUCUGGGAAAUAUGGUGAAAAUAUAUGUUAAGGGACAAAGAGCUUUAUGAUGAAAGACACUUGUCACAUGAUGAAUUAGGGAAAGAUUAAAAAUGGGAAGGAAUUCUAUGAACUCUGAACCCUACAGGCAUGGAAUAAUGAGUAAGGAAAGGAUGUAACAAUAGCUUUGAUCCUACUGUACAUUUAUAAUCAUGUAAGAAUAAAUUGUAUCAGGGGACAGAUACGAGGUUGAUGGCAACGUGGGCAGAUUAUUUAAAAUCAUACCCAAUAUUGGGCCUUAUCUGACAAAAGCAAUUGUAACUCACAGGCAGCAAAUUGAGCAAACACAAGAACAGCUGUAGCAGGCAGAGCUCACCUUCAGACACCAGAUUGCAGUUCAUGAGAAGAAUGCUCAGCACAACUGGAUCAAGACUCAGAUCUGGGACAGGGAGAUGGCAGAGCAGAGCAGGGAGGUCGCCCACUUGAAACAGGUGUGGGAGCUUGACAUGUGGUUUUAUGGGUGUUUCAAGGGAUGACAGCUGUGCUGUUGUGUAUCUGUGGUGUUCUAACUCUUUAGAAGUCCAUUCUUUUUCUGUAUCCAAGACUGGAUGUUAUGGAAGGAAAGAGGCUGCCUGAGGGACACAUGAGGCAGAAACCAAUGCCUGGAAGACCAGAGACGGCAGAACCGUCCAGGGAGAGGUAAGGAGCACAUUGUGACAUGCACUGGCCUAAUUUCUGCUGCAAAGCCUGUUCCUGUCGGUGAUCAUUGUGUGGCCUGGACAGAACCACAAGCACUACCUAAGGAUAGCAGGUGGCCUGAAGGGGUGACAGGAGGGUGUUCUCCUCUGGUGCCCUAGCAGCACUGCUAAAUUUCUGUAGUUUUCCUUUUCUCAUUAGUAUAAGAUUAGUCUAAGUACAUUUCUAGUCAGACAUAGUUAUAUAAUAACUGCUCACAUGUGGAAGGCAGCUUACAUAUAAGCUGAAGGAUUGAACAAUCCACCUAGAGCCAGAAGAAACACACACAUUCUCUUCCGUUGAGGGUUCUUUGAUGUUAUCCGCCAAUCGAUACUCUCAUUUGUAUUCUUUUUUUUAGUUAAAUUUUUAAUGUUUAUUUACUUUGGAGAGAGAGA